rnacentral:rRNA from 1 species
AAGGAUACAGGUGGUGCAUGGUUGUCGUCAGCUCGUGUCGUGAGAUGUGGGUUAAGUCCGCAACGAGCGCAACCCUUGUCUUUAGUUACCAUCAUUCAGUUGGGGGACUCUAGAGAGACUGCCGGUGAUAAACCGGAGGAAGGUGGGGAUGACGUCAAAUCAUCAUGGCCCUUACGGCCAGGGCUACACACGUGCUACAAUGGCGCGUACAGAGGGCUGCAAGCUAGCGAUAGUGAGCGAAUCCCAAAAAGCGCGUCGUAGUCCGGAUCGGAGUCUGCAACUCGACUCCGUGAAGUCGGAAUCGCUAGUAAUCGCGAAUCAGAAUGUCGCGGUGAAUACGUUCCCGGGCCUU